GCAACCCUGAUCCAGCCAUGCCGCGUGUGUGAAGAAGGCCUUUUGGUUGUAAAGCACUUUAAGCAGUGAAGAAGACUCUAUGGUUAAUACCCAUAGACGAUGACAUUAGCUGCAGAAUAAGCACCGGCUAACCUCUGUGCCAGCAGCCGCGGUAAUACAGAGGGUGCAAGCGUUAAUCGGAAUUACUGGGCGUAAAGCGAGCGUAGGUGGCUUGAUAAGUCAGAUGUGAAAUCCCCGGGCUUAACCUGGGAACUGCAUCUGAUACUGUUAGGCUAGAGUAGGUGAGAGGGAGGUAGAAUUUCAGGUGUAGCGGUGAAAUGCGUAGAGAUCUGAAGGAAUACCGAUGGCGAAGGCAGCCUCCUGGCAUCAUACUGACACUGAGGUUCGAAAGCGUGGGUAGCAAACAGGAUUAGAUACCCUGGUAGUCCACGCCGUAAACGAUGUCUACUAGUCGUUGGGGAACUUGAUUCCUUAGUGACGCAGCUAACGCAAUAAGUAGACCGCCUGGGGAGUACGGCCGCAAGGUUAAAACUCAAAUGAAUUGACGGGGGCCCGCACAAGCGGUGGAGCAUGUGGUUUAAUUCGAUGCAACGCGAAGAACCUUACCUGGUCUUGACAUAUCUAGAAUCCUGCAGAGAUGCGGGAGUGCCUUCGGGAAUUAGAAUACAGGUGCUGCAUGGCUGUCGUCA
rnacentral:rRNA from 1 species